CAAGACAGGAAGUAAGCAUUUUCAUGUGGGAGAAGAUAUGAAAUUAUAAAAAAAUGGAGGAGUGUACAACAGCGUCACACUGCUGAAGGAAACAAAAGGAGGAGAACUCAAGCAGGUGAAAGAGUAUGUGUGAAGUCUGAUAGAGAAAUAAGCAGAUGUGAAAAACAUUUGACACUCCACAAAUCAGCAUGUCUUACUUUAUCCUCAAGACUUGGAUAAAGUCAGUCUAAAUUUAUAAUACGGAAAAAGAAUACAUGACAUUUCAGAAUUGCUUUUGAAAAUGCUACUUUGAAGGUACUUUUACUACAAGUGCAUUGAAGUGCGCAUAACCCGUGAGUAUAGAGAUAAAGGACGUUUAAAGGUGAGAGAAGAGAAGUCUGACCGAAGAUUUGUAGCGAUGGCGAACAGUUGGACAUUGACGGUGGUCGUCCUCCUGAGUAUCUUUGUGGCAAAAAGUCAGACAAGAGAUUUCCAAGAGCAGACCUUUAUUUCGGGCCGCGAUGUGACUUUACGAUGUGGCAAUCGCACUGUUGUCAAGUGGAAUGAAUUAAUUUAUAUCGUCUGGAACAUUAGCCUGCAAGACAGAAAAUGUCGGCUUGGUUUGUCACCCAAGCUGGACGACACAUGCAAAGAUGGAAAGAAGCUGUACAACACUUCAGAUGGAGUUUCCCUAUUCAUUCCCAAGAUUUCAAUAGAAGAUGAAGGAUCUUACUUUUGUGAUGUAUCAUAUAAAGGAGGAAGCUAUGCACUAAAUGUGACUGUAAGCGUUACCAACGUUUCCACCUGGCUGUACAAAGAAAACAAUCAAAGGAUUGCUGUCUGUAAAUCUACAUAUAAAAUGAAAGCACCCACUCUUCAUUGGGAACCUGCCUUGAACUUUUCCUCCAACAUCAGUUCUGUCAAGAAGCUUGGCAAGUUUUUUAUGCUGGAGAAUCAAGUAUAUCUGCCGGAAAAUCUCAACAUCAGUGAGCUCACUUGUGUGGCCACAUACACCUCUGAGUCCAGCCCUGUGCAGCACAAGAGCACACUUAUUACAGGUUCACAAAACUCAAAUCCCCCAUCUCCUUGGAGAGAUAUUGGCAUAUCAGUUGGCUCUGUUUGUCUUGCUCUUGUAGCCCUGGUCGUGUUUUACAAACUACGCAGAAAGAUUUAUGACUUGAGUGCAUUGAAGAUGCUUUGCUGCAAAUCCAAAAUCUCAACACCAGCUGAAGACAAACCAACCCCGGUAAGAAGUCUCUAUCAAACCCUUUUUAUCUUCUACACCAUACUCCAUUAUUCACUAUAUAGGGUGUCAUUUUGAAUGAUUCAGUGUGUAUCCAUUGUAAAAGUGUUUUGUAUGGCUCACUGAAGCGUAUGUCUGUGUGUGUUAAGCCCGCUGAUGUUGAAGAGGUGGAACCCUAUGCAAGUUACAUACAGAGAGUCAAUUCUAUCUACAACUCCUCAGCUGAACUCUUCAACGCUUGAGAGACACUCACUUUUCAUGAUGAAACAGGAUACCAGAAGAGAACCGAGGGCAAAGAUAUGCCUGUGGUCAAAAUUACACAUGAAAAACAAUACUAGUGGAAAAUAGUCAUCUCAAGAGAGCAUCCCCAAAGCAAACAGCGCCUGACUGAGGAGCAAAAGUCACACUGAGUCAAAAGAUGAAAGGUGAUGACAAAGAAACAUUUGUCUUAGUAUGUAAUGAGCAAUAACUGGGACAUCUUCAGCGUCAGCGAUAUCACUUAUACUGUAUGUAGAUUUGUAGAGAAAGAACUUGGUUAGAUAUUAAUAAUUUGAACAAAUCAAAUUUGUACAUAUUUAUAUCAGAGUGAAUCAAAAAUCAAAAAGCAGGCCUAAAGUGUAAAGAACCUAUUUUACAUUGCACAUAAUUAAAAGUAUGUAAAUAAACUUAUUGUACUUUUCA
ensembl:lncRNA